GACGAACGCUGGCGGCGUGCUUAACACAUGCAAGUCGAACGGAAAGGCCCUGCUUUUGUGGGGUGCUCGAGUGGCGAACGGGUGAGUAACACGUGAGUAACCUGCCCUUGACUUUGGGAUAACUUCAGGAAACUGGGGCUAAUACCGGAUAGGAGCUCCUGCUGCAUGGUGGGGGUUGGAAAGUUUCGGCGGUUGGGGAUGGACUCGCGGCUUAGCAGCUUGUUGGUGGGGUAGUGGCUUACCAAGGCUUUGACGGGUAGCCGGCCUGAGAGGGUGACCGGCCACAUUGGGACUGAGAUACGGCCCAGCCUCCUACGGGAGGCAGCAGUGGGGAAUAUUGCACAAUGGGCGGAAGCCUGAUGCAGCAACGCCGCGUGCGGGAUGACGGCCUUCGGGUUGUAAACCGCUUUCGCCUGUGACGAAGCGUGAGUGACGGUAAUGGGUAAAGAAGCACCGGCUAACUACGUG
rnacentral:rRNA from 1 species